rnacentral:rRNA from 1 species
UAGCGUAUAUUAAUCUGUUGCAGUUAAAGCGUCCGUAGUUUAAAUUCAUUGUGUGUAUUUUAGGUAAGUGAUCAGUUUCUGAUCCUGCCGGAAUUCGCGCAAGUUCUCGUCAUGAGGACAUUGUUACCUUGAGUUUAUGGAAUCGUUCAAAACAGACAAGAGUCUGCACCGCUCAGCAUGGAAUAACAGAAACGAUGUUUACUGACUACUGUGGGUCAGUAAAUUUAUGGUUGAUAGGGACAGUCGGGGGCAUUUGUACCUGCUGGAGAGAGGUGAAAUUCCAAGACCCAGCAGUGACAAACAUAUGCGAAGGCAUCUUCCCAGAAUGUACCCAUUGAUCAAGGACGAAAGUUGGGGGAUCGAAGACGAUUAGAUACCGUCGUAGUCUCAACCGUAAACUAUGCCGACCGUAUUUUGGUGGAGUUAACUAAAUUCUCUAUCAGAGUUACCAGAGAAAUCAAAGUCUUUGGGCCCUGGGGGGAGUAUGGUCGCAAGGCUGAAACUUAAAGGAAUUGACGGAAGGGCACCACCAGGAGUGGAGCUUGCGGCUUAAUUCGACUCAACGCGGGAAACCUUACCAGGCCCGGACGUAGUGAUGAUUGACGAGUGACGAGAUUUUUCUUGAUUCUAUGGGUGGUGGUGCAUGGCCGUUCUUAGUCGGUGAGGUGACUUGUCUGGUUAAUUCCGAUAACGGACGAGAUCUCGACUUAUCAAAUAAAUGUCAGAUGAUUAUCUAAACAAUUUUUUGAUUGGACAACGGGUAUUCAAUCCGAGGAAGUUCGAGCCUAUAACAGGUCUGUGAUGCCCUUAGAUAGCCUGGGCUGCACGUGUGCUACAUUGAGUUAAGCAACAAGCUGCGGCAUGUAGACAUGCAGCGGAUCAUGCAAAUUAACUCGUCCUUGGGAUUGGCGAUUGCAAUUAUUCGCCAUAAACGUGGAAUUCCUAGUACGUGCA